UUCCCAGUGCUAUGCUCUACCUGCAGGUGCCGGAGAGGAAGCUGAAAGAGUGCAUGCCACAGGAGCCCAGCUGGCAUGAACAGCUCAUGGCAGAAAUAAAAGGACCGCAGAAGCUUUGGCCAUCGACAGCAAGGGAAAAUGGGAGCAGGCCCAAAGAAAUGCCUGAGUCACCAAAUGUUGCCUUGAAAUCUCCAAGCAGCGGUAUCUUAACUCUCCAAAAUGUCAGUACAGAGUUCAAAACUGUCAACACUGUAACACAGCAGCUGGGACCAGGAGUUCAGGAAACAACUCCCAAGCUGCCUUCCAGCACCCAGCUUGCCUCAACCAGGUCAUCAGCAAAGACUUGCAACAGCACAGGUCUCUCUGCAGAUCGCACAUGUGCUGUUAUGAGUGGACCCAUGCUAGGAGACAUUAAACCUAUCAGUUUCUGGAACUCUAGACAACAGCAGCUGCCUCCUUACAGAGGAAGGUCCAGAUCUUUAGAGAGUGCCCUUCAAAGCAAGGAACUUGCCUGUCCCUUUCCUACCAAACGGCCAUCACCAACCAUCGCUGAGCUGAUUGGAACCAGAUAUGCAAUGAUGGUGCUGGAGAGGGAAGGCUCUCCCCAAAAAGGUGGUGAUGGUGCCUUUCCAAGAGCCAAGGUAUGUUUCCUCUCCUUGUCCUUGUGCUGUCCUUUUCUUUUCAAAAGCUGGCUGGUUUCACGUCCCUCAGUGCCCAACUGCUGACGAUGUUCUCUAACUUAUUUUAUC
rnacentral:lncRNA from 1 species